GUAAAAUUAACUUUGAUUCUUGAAAGAUUGGUCACUAAUAAGGAUGAUCGGCAAUAGUAUUAACCGUAAUGAUCUACAAAAAUAAAAAAAUAAACAUUAAGAUCGCCGGAAAGGGUUUUGAAAAAAAAAAACCAAAAUCAGAUCUAUAAACAUAUAAACAUUAGAUUUACCUAUGAUUCUUGAAAGAUUCUUCACUGAAAUGGAGGAUCGGCUACGGUAUUUUGAUGAUCGGAGUUAGGUAGAAGACAGAGAAGAGAGAGAGAAAGAAGACGAUUCCAGAAGAAGUUAACUCAAAUAAUUGUGUGAAAUCAUUUUAUAGGAUCCGAAUUCAUAAAGUGUUAUUCGCUUAACCCGGAAAACCGCCCCAUUCAAUUUCGGAUCCCGCGUUUGUUUUGUUAAUUGGGUUGUGUUUUGUGUAACUUGCUUUGUUUAUAGAGAAUUCCCUCCCAAAAUCAAAGUACACUAAACCAUUGGUUGCCACAUCAUCAAAUUGGCUUCACCAUUAAAGGACAAAUAGCCCAUAUCAUCUCAUUUAUUAAGACAUAUAGAUUUUUUUAUAACAUGUUUAUUUAUUAUCAAAAAUGUUUAGUUUUUAAUUGUAUAAAUAGAUAUAAUAGAUGAGGAAGGUUCAUCUGAGAAGAAAAAGAACAAAGUGUAAUUUUGUAAAAUAUUAAAUAGAUUUUUAACUUAUCUCAUUUAUUAUCAUCUUUGACUAAUUAAUUAGUCAUAAAGACUAUCAUUCUCCACACCAUCUUUUUUUGCCUACACACAUCAAAAAUUAUCCUACAUGUUUCGAAAUUUAUCCUACACGUUAAAAUUUAUCCGACACAACUCGUAAUUUAUCUUAUAUACCUCGUAAUUUAUCCUACACUUUAAAUUAUUUAUUAUUUUUCUUUAAAAAAUAUAUAUUUUGAAAAUAAGUUACAAAAAAUUUAAUGUAGUUAGCUAUUAAAAAUGAAGACUACAAAUUAUUGAUCUAUGUAGAUUUACCAAUGUACCCUUAUAGUAACAUUAAAUACCUAUAUUAAAUGAAGUAAAAUAAAACAUUCUUAUUGGUUGAAAUUUUUUCUUUUUUCUUCUUACAAAAAAUUUAUUCUCAUUUGAACUAGAUUACGUUUAUAUAUUACAUAGUUAAAAUAAACAUAGCUUAAUUUAUAUAAUUUAGGUUUCAAUAUAUAGAAAGUAAUUAACAAGCCCAAAACAUUAUUCAAUGUACUAAACUCAAUAGAUAAUAAUACUAAGGGCGGUGGGGGUGGAACGUUAAUGUUCCGUGAUGAUGCACCAUCACGCGUGGUGGGAAACAAAAGACCGCCGCCACCUAUGAUAUAUUACGCGUGUAUUAUUAACACGUUGUAUUAUUAAUGCGUGAAACUUCAAUGUAUCAAGCUCUGGACCCACUGCAUGUUUGACACGUGUUGACCAACUUCACCAAUUUAGUUCUGCAUGAUGAAAAGUGAAAUGAAAUGAGGAAGAUGGGGGUUUUUGUGAGAGUUAAUUUAAAAAAUAAAAAAAAAAGUUGUGAGUGAUGGAAUUCCAUCACUAGUGAUGACCACCGCCACUAAAAAGGCUUGUGAGUGAUAGAAUAGUGGUUGAUGACAUGGUGGAACUUGAUUGGAUGCUUGUGAGUGAUGGAAUUCUAUCACUAGUGACCACCCCCACUCCCCUAAAGCCCAAUACCUUUGAGUGGAUAAGAAACUAGGCUAAUUUAUGUUUAAUUAGUGUCAAAUCUUGUCAUUUUACAGGCCAACAAAGUAAUUUACACUUUAAAGUUAAAUUUUUGAAUUGAAAAUUAUUAAGUUAUUGUGGAUUGUAUCUAUACAAUUCAAAACAGUCCCUAAACAGUUGUAACUCAAUUAUUUUUAAAAGGGAAAUAAAUUAAAAAACAAAGAAAUAUAUGUAAAAAAAGGUUCCAAGUGUAAACUGCUAUAAAAGAAAAUGAUUAUUGUAAAAGAAAACUGCUAUUAAAUAAUGUAAAUGAAAUGAAGUUUUAACUUGGACCUUAAUCUCAACACACAUUUUACAAUACUAUUCUCUUUAGUUUUCUUUUGCGUAUACAUUAUUGUGAAUGAAAUUUGAAGAAAACAAACUAUAGUGCGUAAAAUAAAAAUAAAGGAAAAUAAACUAUUCCUUAUCAUGUUUUGUUUUCAUACUAGUUUUUGCCCCGCCCGCGUUGCAGGGCAAUAAGCCGAAUAUUUCUCUCUCAUAACAUGUAUGUCUGUGUUUCGGUUACUUGUACAUACUACUCAUAACACGAUCUC
rnacentral:lncRNA from 1 species